UUGUCCCCCAGGCUGACCGACUCCCUUUCUUUCAUCGUACGGUCCUCAUGCCAAGGGUUGGCACGGAAGUUUGGUCUCAACUGUGUAUUGCUAAGAUGAAAGUGACAAAGCAGGACUGAUGAUCAAUGUCAUCUGGUCAUUUUCCAUCAUUUUAAUCAGUGCAACUGUUUUAAUGUGCCAAGGAUACAUUUGGUGGUGGAUGGGGACCACUGGAAUUGGAAGAGUGGAGUGCAAUGCCAUUAAAAGAGCGUGGUACCAAGGAUAUGAAUAGAUGGGAUGCUAUCAAACAUUAAUAGCAACUUCACUGAACAUACUGGAUUAUACACAAAACCUUGAACUGAAAGGGAAUGUGGAAUAUGUGGUCAGUGCAGGCAUCUGCUCCGUUCAUCUGCUACCUUUUGUUCUGCCAAUUGUUAAAUUACAUGAAUAGUGAAAAGUACCCCAUAUGUUAAUCAGAUAUGCCAGUUGAANAGCACUGAUUUGUGG
rnacentral:lncRNA from 1 species